GGUAAGGUGGGGCCACAUGACAACAAAUCUUGCGGAAUCAAUGAACGCGUGUUUAAGGGCAUACGUAACUCCCGAUAACCGCAUUGGUGAGUGCGACCUAUUUUCGGAUGGCAACGUUGUUCGUAACAAGAGGCAGGCGCUGGCAUGAAGUGUUGCAGACGAGUCAAGUAUAUAGUGAUGCCUGCAUGAAGUUUAUGAGGCAGGAAUCUGCCAAAGCCAGCAGCCAUCGGUUACCGAAUUCGACCGACAUGGCCACACUUUUAGUGUCAAGGAAACAAUUGAC
rnacentral:lncRNA from 1 species